rnacentral:rRNA from 1 species
GAUGAACGCUGGCGGCGUGCCUAAUACAUGCAAGUCGAGCGAACAGACGAGGAGCUUGCUCCUCUGACGUUAGCGGCGGACGGGUGAGUAACACGUGGAUAACCUACCUAUAAGACUGGGAUAACUUCGGGAAACCGGAGCUAAUACCGGAUAAUAUAUUGAACCGCAUGGUUCAAUAGUGAAAGACGGUUUUGCUGUCACUUAUAGAUGGAUCCGCGCCGCAUUAGCUAGUUGGUAAGGUAACGGCUUACCAAGGCGACGAUGCGUAGCCGACCUGAGAGGGUGAUCGGCCACACUGGAACUGAGACACGGUCCAGACUCCUACGGGAGGCAGCAGUAGGGAAUCUUACGCAAUGGGCGAAAGCCUGACGGAGCAAAGCCGCGUGAGUGAUGAAGGUCUUCGGAUCGUAAACCUCUGUUAUUAGGGAAGAACAAAUGUGUAAGUAACUAUGCACGUCUUGACGGUACCUAAUCAGAAAGCCACGGCUAACUACGUG